AGCGAACGCUGGCGGCAGGCCUAACACAUGCAAGUCGAACGAAGUCUUCGGACUUAGUGGCGGACGGGUGAGUAACACGUGGGAACGUACCUUUUGGUUCGGAACAACUCAGGGAAACUUGAGCUAAUACCGGAUGAGCCCUUAGGGGGAAAGAUUUAUCGCCGAAAGAGCGGCCCGCGUUAGAUUAGCUAGUUGGUGAGGUAAAGGCUCACCAAGGCUACGAUCUAUAGCUGGUCUGAGAGGAUGAUCAGCCACACUGGGACUGAGACACGGCCCAGACUCCUACGGGAGGCAGCAGUGGGGAAUCUUGCGCAAUGGGCGAAAGCCUGACGCAGCCAUGCCGCGUGAAUGAUGAAGGUCUUAGGAACGUAAAGCCCUUUUCUCGGGGACGAAAAGGACGGUACCCGAGGAAGAAGCCCCGGCUAACUACGUGCCAGCCGCCGCGGUAAAAC
rnacentral:rRNA from 1 species